AUUAAGAGCAUAUGGUGGAUGCCUUGGCUUGAAGUGGCGAUGAAGGACGUGGCGUGUCUGCGUUAAGCCUCGGGGAGGUGACUAGCAACCUUUGAUCCGGGGAUAUCCGAAUGGGGAAACCCAGCACUGCAAAACAGUGCUACGCACCGUUUCGCAGUGAGUUUAAAAUUAAAAAAUCAAAAUGCAAAAUUUCGGUCUUUUAAAAUUUUGCUUAGCAAAAUUUAUUAAUUUUUAGAUUUUAAAUUGUAAUUUUGAUUUUUACGUUUUGAGUUUUAAAUUCACCGCGAAGCGGUGUGAGCGUACCCACUGAAGUGAAACAUCUCAGUAAGUGGAGGAAAAGAAACCAAUCUUACGCAGUUUCCAGCAGCCAGCAGGCUGCUUCGGCAGUCUUUUGAUCUUUGAUCAAAUUGAUGGCGGCCGGUAACUAGCGUGAGCCAUUCCCUUAGUAGCGGCGAGCGAAAAGGGAUCAGCCCAAAUCUCAUUUUUUGCUUUAAACACAAACAAUGGGAGGUUGUAAGAUAAACUCGUUGUGAGCGCUUGCGUUUACGGGAGAGUGCAUAAAUUAAGACUUCGUUAGGCGAAGCGGUUGGAAAGCCGCACCAAAGAAGGUAAUGGUCCUGUAGCCGAAAACGGUCUUUUGCUCUCUGAGUUUAAUCUUGAGUAAUUCGAGGAAAGAAUGCCUCGGGUGAAGCAGGGAAUACUAGUUCCCAAGGCUAAAUACACUUCAAGACCGAUAGUGAACUAGUACCGUGAGGGAAAGGUGAAAAGCAGCCCGGUGAGGGCGAUGAAAUAGUACCUGAAACCAUAUGCUUACAAGGAAUCGGAGCCGAGCACCUUUUUGAAUAUUAUUACAUGCGCAUUUCUGUUUUUUUCUAAAUUAUGCGUGUGAGUAAAAAAUAGUAUUUAAAAAGGUGCUCGGUGACGGUGUGCCUAUUGAAGAAUGAGCCAACGAGUUGUUGUUUGUUGCUGUCUAAUCCCAAUUAGGGAGAAGGCAUAGGGAAACCGAGUCUGAAUAGGGCGAUAUAGUUUUCUAGUUUUCUGGUCAGAUCUUUUUUGAUCUGCAGGAAGAUGUUUUCUUCCGAAGGACCGGAAAACUAAAAAACUAAAAGCAGCAGGCACCAGACCCGAAGCCAGGUGAGCUACCCAUGACCAGGGUGAAUUUAGGUGAAAACCUGAUGGAGGCCCGAACCGGUUGGUCGUACAACGCCAUCGGAUGAGUUGUGGGUAGGAGUGAAAAGCUAAUCGAACCUGGUAAUAGCUGGUUCUCUCCGAAAUAGCUUUAGGGCUAGCGUCUUUGUUUUUUUCUGGGGGUAGAGCUACUGGAAGGUGUGAAUAGGGAGAAAUCUCGUCAUACCUACCAAACUCCGAAUACCGGAAAUAUCGCAAAGGCAGUUAGACCAUGGGGGCGAAGCUCCAUAGGUCGAAAGGGAAACAGCCCAGAUCUCCGUUUAAGGUCCCUAAAUCUUCCCGGUUUAUUCCGGGAUCCCGGUUUAUUAUUGAUUUAUCAACAGUAUUCUGGGACUGCUAAGUGUUUCUAAGGAAGUAAAAUUUCCGAGAUAGCGAGGAGGUUGGCUUAGAAGCAGCCAUCCUUAAAAGAGUGCGUAACAGCUCACUCGUUAAGAGAUUUUGCACCAAAGAUAAUCGGGACUAAGCAGAGUACCGAAAACGAGAAUCGUGCUUUGCACAGAAAUUCGAAAUUCGAAUAUUGUCAGCCAGAUGGCUGAUCCGCCUUCGGCGGAAAACUCGAAACAAUUUUUUCAGCCAGAUGGCUGAUCCGCCCUUGGCGGAAAAUUCGAAAUUCUAAAUUCAAAACGUUUUGAAUUUUUGGAUUUUAGACAUUGAAAUUUGUUUCGGAUUUCGUGCUUUGGAUUUAGGAUUUCCGCGCAGAGCGCGGUGGUAGGAGAGCAUUCCAAACUGCUGUGAAGGUUACGGCGUGAGCCGGGCUGGAGCGUUUGGAAGUGAGAAUGUUGGCACAAGUAACCGCAAGGCCAGUGAAAUCCUGGCCCGCCGAAAACCUAAGGUUUCCUUGGCAAUGUCAAUCAGCCAAGGGUUAGUCGGUCCUAAGGCGAUGCCGAAAGGCGCAGCUGAUGGACACACGGUUAAUAUUCCGUGACCUCGCAGUUUUUUCGAUGUGGUGACGAAAGUUAGUAGAUCGAGCAUGUUAUUGGAUUCGUGUUUAUGGCAUAAAGAAUGCGUUUUAGGGAAAUCCGGAACGCUGCCUUUAAUGGCAAUUCCAGUGCCGUGAGAACCCGGUGCCUUUUUGUACAGAAAUAAAGAUACCAACAUACGAAUGAGUACGAAUGAUACUAAUAAUACUAAUACGAGUGUUCAGAUAUUUGUAUCUAUUCGUAUCAUUAGCAAAAUUAGUAUAUUCGUAUCAUUUUUGGCUUCCAUUUAUGUAUAAAAAGGUGCCGGGGACUUGAUCGAGCGGCUUUCCAAGAAAAACCUCUAGAGUUAAAGAUUGCGAGACCGUACCGUAAACCGACACAGGUAGGUCGGUCGAGAAGACCAAGGCGAACGGGUGAGUCCUCCCCAAGGAACUCGACAAAAAAGCGGCCGUAAGUUAGCGAUAAGGCCUGCCCUGCCGUGCCUCACUGCAUUCGGCACGGAAGCACGAAAUUCGAAGUACGAAUCACGAAACAAUAUUUUCAGCCAGAGGCUGAUCCGCCCUUGGCGGAAAAUUCGAAAUUCUAAAUUCAAAACGUUUUGAAUUUUGGGGUUUUGAAUAUUUGAAUUUGUUUCGGAUUUCUAAUUUGUAAUUUUGUAUUUCCGCCCGAGCGUAGCGAGGCGCGGCUGGGUCGCAGCGAAAGUAUCCCUGGCGACUGUUUACCAAAAACACAGCUCCCUGCGAACUCGUAAGAGGAUGUAUAGGGGGUGACGCCUGACCAAUGCGAGAAGGUUAACUCUGGUGGUGAGGUGAUCGGCUUUCUGGGCUUCAUGUUCAACAUGGAUCCCAGGACGCCGAUUGUCUUGCUGACCGGACGAAGCCCUCGUCAAUGUCGGCAGUAACUCUAACUGUCCUAAGGUAGAAUCAGCGCGCUGCCUUAGUAAAAUCUAGCUAUAUGCUGGAAAGUCUGUGGAUAAAAUCCUGGAGUAUCUGAUGCUACUGCGCGAGACCCGCGUAGUGAAAAUGUAUUCAGUGCAGACAAUCAGCAGGAAAGAUUAGAAAAUUGGUAUUUUCUAAAAUCCUCAGAGACUAUACGCUAGAUCCCGGUAUUCUUUAUGAAUAAAUAUAGUAACCGGGAAAGAUAUAGUCCGAUCUCUAUGGCGACAUAGAGGAUCCCCGUUGGAAGCGGGGUGAUAACGUGAAUUUGAGCGCAAUUCCUUGCCGGGUAAGUUCCGGCGCGCACGAAAGGCGUAACGACUGGGGAAUUGUCUCGGGGAGGAGCCUGGUGAAAAUGCAAUACCGGUGAAGAUGCCGGUUACCUGCAGUUAGACGAAAAGACCCCGGAAGCUUUACUGCAACUUGAUAUUGGGUCUAAGUGUUUAAUACGUAGCAUAGUGGGGAGACUUUGAAGUCCCGGUUUCGGUCGGGGUGGAGUCGUCAGUGAAAUACCCAUUUUUAAACGCUUAUAUUCUAACCUUGGCGGAAAAAACGCCCGGGAACAGUAUCUGGUGGGCAGUUUUAGUGGGGCGCUAUCCUCCUAAAAAGUAACGGAGGAGUUUAUUAAGGUCGGCUAGGCGCGGAUGGAAAUCGUGCCGAUAGCGUAAUGGCAAAAGCCGGCUUAACUGCAAGACGGACAUGUCGAGCAGGUGCGAAAGCAGAACAUAGUGAACCGACCGUGGGCACUAGACGCCGCGGAAGAUUAACGGAUAAAAGCUACUCCGGGGAUAACAGGCUGGUACCACCCGAGCGUCCANNNNNNCACCUCGAUGUCGGCUCAUCUUAUCCUGGGGGUGGAGAAGCUCCCAAGGGUUUGGCUGUUCGCCAAUUAAAAAGAUACGCGAGCUGGGUUCAAACCGUUCAGGACCUUAAUUUUAGGGUUUUGAACCCGUUUGAGCCCGAGGUUAAGACAUUAUUAUCACGGCGGCUCUUGAUGGUAACGUCAAGAAGCGAAUCGACUCAUAUCGGUGGAAUCCUAAUUAAGUUGUUGGAUAACAACCUGUCAUGUGUUAGGAUAAUAUCGAGGGAAGUCGCGUAUGUUGGGAUCUAUUUCGUCAAUUAAAAAAGCUUAUCUUGCCGGAUUUCUUGAUGCGGAUGGAAGUAUUUAUGUGCGAGCGAAACCAAAUUUAACUUAUAAAUACGGUUAUCAAAUUGCUUUGUACAUUGUUUUUUUUCAAUCAGUUAAAGAUAAAGACAAAUUUAUUAAGAUUUGUGGUUUGUCGGGUGUGGGUAAAACAAGGGAACGAAAAGAUGGAAUUGUUGAAUUUAUUAUCAAUAAGAUUGAUGAGGUGAAACAAUUCCUUAAAAUUAUAACCCCCUUUCUUAUUCUAAAAAAAGAACAAGCGGAAUUAAUGAUUAAAAUUAUCAAGCGCAAAGAAAAAAUAAGCUCUAAGAAAGAUUUUCAAAAACUUCUUGAUUUAAUUGACGGUUAUCGUGACCUAAAUUAUUCAAAAAAACGAAUAAAGCGUACGUUGACCCCGUAGAGACUAAACGUCGACUCCCAAUUCCGUUGUAAGCGGAAUGGAUGAAAGUAUAGUCCAAUGCACUUAGUAAUAAGUGGAAACCCGUCCAGGCUCUUUUGAGCUACGACGAGGUUAACAUGCGUGAGACAGGUUGGUCUCCUAUCUACUGCAGGCGUUGAUUUUUGAGAGGACUCUCUUUUAGUACGAGAGGACCGAAGAGAACUGACCUCUGGUCUGCCAGCUGUUCCGCCAGGAGCAGCGCUGGGUAGCUAUGUCGGGAUGUGAUAACCGCUGAAAGCAUCUAAGCGGGAAACACACCUCAAGAUAAGAAAUCAUUUGAGACCCCUCGGAGAUUACGAGGUUGAUAGGCUCCAGGUGCAAGUCCUGUAAGGGAUUUAGCCGAGGAGUACUAAGUGGUCAAGUUCCGCUGAAACAU
rnacentral:rRNA from 1 species